UACGUAGGGUGCGAGCGUUAAUCGGAAUUACUGGGCGUAAAGCGUGCGCAGGCGGUUCGUUGUGUCGGCGGUGAAAGCCCCGGGCUUAACCUGGGAAUGGCCGUUGAAACUGGCGAACUGGAGUGUGGCAGAGGGGGGUGGAAUUCCGCGUGGUAGCAGUGAAAUGCGUAGAUAUCGGGAGGAACACCUGUGGCGAAAGCGGCUCACUGGACCACAACUGACGCUGAGGCGCGAAAGCUAGGGGAGCAAACAGG
rnacentral:rRNA from 1 species